UACGGAGGGUGCAAGGCGUUAUCCGGAUUUACUGGGUUUAAAGGGUGCGCAGGCGGAUAUGUAAGUCAGUUGGUGAAAUCUCCGGGCUUAACCCGGAACUGACCGGUUGAUACUAUAUAUCUUGAAUGCUGUGGAAGGUAAGCAGGAAUAGUGUCAAUGUAGCGGUGAAAUGACUUAGAUAUGACAUAGAAUACCUAUUGCGAAGGCAGCUCUACGCAGAUAUUAACGCUCAUGCACGAAAGCGUGGGGAUCAAACAGG
rnacentral:rRNA from 1 species